GACCUAACCUAGGGGAGCCGCUUGCGGCUGAGAAAUGACAACCGUCAUGACCCUUAAUACUUGAUCCAGACCAUGCUGGCGAAAGGAAGGAAACAACGCAUUCG
rnacentral:ncRNA from 2 species